rnacentral:rRNA from 1 species
GACGAAGGAUGCAAGCGUUAUCCGGAUUCAUUGGGUUUAAAAGGAGCGUAGGCGGACUUAUAAGUCAGUGGUGAAAUCUCCUUGCUUAACAAGGAAACUGCCAUUGAUACUGUAGGUCUUGAGUACAGUUGCCGUUGGCGGAAUAUGACAUGUAGUGGUGAAAUACUUAGAUAUGUCAUAGAACACCGAUUGCGAAGGCAGCUAACGAAGCUGUAACUGACGCUGAGGCUCGAAAGUGCGGGGAUCAAACAGG